rnacentral:sRNA from 10 species
GACGGUCACGGGAGAGCGAUCCGAGGGCCGGCAGAACCCCGUCUCCCGUGCGAGCGAUCGCGGGAGACAACGUUCUGCGCUGUUUAAAUCUGAAGAAAACUAGUGCGUAUGGCCCAUCUGGGAACGGGUGAACGAGCUUUACCUUUCAGUUUCCGCAUCGCUCGGGAAGGGCAACCUCUUCUCGCGGUCUCCGCAGUCCUU